AAGAGGCAGAACUUGUGGCUCUGGCCAAAUGUCCUCUCUUCACUGAAUUUUAUUGCUUUUUUCACACAUGGAUGGGAGAUGCAGAUCCAACAUGGAUGAGAUUAUCUUCAAGCAUAUCCUUUCUCAAGAAAGCUUCAGCUUUUCUGGAAAGAGUUCAGAGAGGAAAGUUUGUUGCUAUUUGCAGCAGCAAACAGCUAAGAAAUCAAAGGCAACAAUUCAUAACAGAGAUCAGCAAAAGUAGCCUGAGCUGUUGGUGGUGGUGAGAAAUGUACCCUGCAGAGGCAGCAAGGCACAGGGGCACGAACUGUGGGAAAAUCACAAAGUGCUUUAAUUCUUCCCAAGCUUGGGCAGUAGCCCACAUCUCGGAGGCAAGAUGGCACAUGAAACAUUCAUUUCCUCUUCCCAAGCAUUUCCUGUGGGGCCACCAGGUGCAUCUUUCCUGCAGUCCUGUGAGCUGUGCUGCUAAUUCAGCAUGGAGCUGGGUCACCUUGUGAGGCAGCUCUGGAUGGAGUUUGUCCCUGCAGUUAUGGAGGCUGUAAAUAACAGAGGUAUUACAACAUGCCUGACAGGGUUUCAUUGCGCCAUCACUACUCCGUCCGAAUAUCAUAUCUCAAAUUAAUAACAAAUUAAUUUUAUCUGCUGAAAGACCCCAACUGUCACCCUGCUGCCCGGAAUGAGAUAAUUCUGG
rnacentral:lncRNA from 1 species